rnacentral:rRNA from 1 species
UACGUAGGGGGCAAGCGUUGUCCGGAAUCAUUGGCGUAAAGAGCGUGUAGGCGGUUCGGUAAGUCGGCUGUGAAAGUCCAGGGCUCAACCCUGGGAUGCCGGUCGAUACUGCCGGACUAGAGUUCGGAAGAGGCGAGUGGAAUUCCCGGUGUAGCGGUGAAAUGCGCAGAUAUCGGGAGGAACACCUAUGGGCGAAGGCAGCUCGCUGGGACGUUACUGACGCUGGAGACGCGAAAGCGUGGGGGAGCAAACAGGAUUAGAU